rnacentral:lncRNA from 1 species
AGAUGCUGGGCCAGUUCCUCCAAGAGGUCUCCAUCAUGGCAGUGAUGAAAACCUAACAGGGUGGCCCCCUGUGCCAGCUCAGGUGACUGGAGCCCGAGGGCCUGACAGGUUCCCAGCAGCUGGGCCGGCCAGCCUUGCACUGUGGGGGCUGGUCCUGAGUCUUGGCCUGCCUCCCAGCCCUGCCAGGAGGCUGCGGCCUAGGGGUCCACGGGAAGCCUCCGUCAGGAGAGACGCAGCCCUGGGGGCCAGCUGGUGCUGCAAGGAAGGGUGGGAAGCUUGCUGGCUUCUGUUGCGCCACUGAGACGGCAGAGACCCCAGGAUCCCAGAGCUUCCCAGGAUCCCUCCCAGAUCCUCUGCUGACUCCAUAUGGAGGCCUCACACCCAGAGGGUAGGGCAGCAGAUCUUCUUUAUAACUAUUUAUUGUUCGAAUCACUUUUAGGAUGUAACUUUAUAAAUAAACAUGAGCGCUGAUGAUUUGC